CCACCCGCCAGGCUCGGCCAGAAGUUAAGCCGAAUGACACCGGCAGCGGUGGGCUAAGCAGGCCGGGCUCCCCGUCCCCAGCUGCGCCUUGCGGGCCACCCGCUCCCGCGCUCCCGGCCGAAGUUCCUGAGCCCAGAAGCUGCGGAGUGGAUUUCUUUGGGUCUUUAUUUAUAUAUUUAUUCUCUGGCUCGGACUCCCUCCUCCCCUCUAUCCCUCCUCUCCACGCCUCUUUCUGCUAGCCCUCACACCCGGUCCCCCGGAGGACUGGAGCGGGGGACUCGCGCCUGCUCGGAUUUCGGACUGGAGGGGAGGCGACCCGAGCGACAGGGUUGGGGAACACAAGAGGAAAAGCGAGGGGGCGCGAGCGAUCAGCUGGCUCUCCCAUCCAUCCGUCCUUUGUGGUGUGCUCCUGGGCUCUCACUCCCGGUGUGUGGAGGCUGCUGAGGUCAUAGAGCGGUUUCCUGGUGUCAUCAAACAAGCUUAGCACAGAGAACAGCUCGGAGUCUGUCCCUCUCUCCAACAACCACCACAAAGCAGAGACACCAUGGAUGCAUCAUUGCUGCGGAAUGGCCGCUGGGGCUGGAACUCCGAGUCCCGUAGAGCUCUCUUGGACCGGCAACGCUGACCCUGCGCAUGCACAUGUGUGAAGAACGCUGCCGAUUUAUGAACCUUGAGGAGUGGGCCACAGACAAGGAACCUCUCAACAUCUUCUGGGAGCCUGUGAAGAAUGAAGCUUCUCAGGCCCCACCCCUACCCCAUCAAAUCCCACCCCACCAGACCGCACCCCUACCUCCAACAGAUUCCACUCCUACCUUUAAUAGACUCCACCCCUACAACACCAGACCCCACCCCCUUCCCCCAACAGACCCCUCCCCCACUCCCAACGUAUCCCACCCUCUCCAGACCCCAUCCCUACCUCUAACAGACUCCCGCACCACCCCUUGCCAGGCAGCAAAGGAGCUGAGUCAGAGCUCUGAAGACUGGGAAGAGGCAAGUCUCAGAGGCAGCAGUCUGUUCCCACAGCCUUCUGGAAGAUUCCAAGACACAUGACUAUUGAGAGUCAGUGAAGCUGAGAGCCCAGUACACGCAGGACCCGCAGGACCCGGCGUGUCUGAGGAGGACAAGGGCUCUUCCCAUCUUCUCGCAUACUCCCAGGGCGGGGGACCGGUGGGGGGGGGGCCUCUGCUAAACUCAUUUCUGAGAUUGGGAAGCCAGGCUCUGGUAAAUGAGUUAGUGUCUCCGCCAGCCCUCCCUCUCAGCACACAGAGACAGCUGAUUAAUAGGACCGAUUCCCCAAAGAUCUCCCAACAUACAUUAAGCCAAGAAAGUCUUUGAGAAGU